rnacentral:misc_RNA from 1 species
CACUCUUGCUAUAAGCAUACUUUUCUAUUUCACGAUCGCAUCACUUGUUAACUUUUCGAGCGAGCUAGCUCUUAGCUUAAUAGCUUUCACUCUGCUGCGGAGACUGGAGAGAGAUGGCAACCAACGGAGAGGUGAAGAUUAAUGGGAAUGGAACGGCGACCCAGAAGUCACCUUUGAGGAAGAUCACGACGAGCGACAAACAUGACGGGAUCUGCCACGAUAUGAGCGCACCCACCGUGAAGGCUCAGACCAUCGACGAGCUUCACUCUCUUCAGAAGAAGAAAUCUGCGCCUUCCACUCCUAAUAAAGGGAUUCAGGGUGCCUUCGCCGCUGUCUCUGAAGAAGAACGCCAAAAACAGCAGCUCCAGUCCAUCAGUGCAUCUUUGGCAUCGCUGACAAGAGAAACCGGACCCAAGGUGGUGAGAGGAGACCCGGCUAACAAGAUCCAGCC